CCUACGGGAGGCAGCAGUGGGGAAUUUUGCGCAAUGGGGGAAACCCUGACGCAGCGACGCCGCGUGGAGGAUGAAGGCCUUCGGGUUGUAAACUCCUUUUGUGGGGGACAGUGGUGAUGGUACCCCAUGAAUAAGCCACGGCUAACUCUGUGCCAGCAGCCGCGGUAAGACAGAGGUGGCAAGCGUUGUUCGGAAUCACUGGGCUUAAAGGGCGUGUAGGCGGCAUUGCAAGUCUGGGGUGGAAUCCGGUGGCUUAACCACCGAACGGCCCUGGAAACUGCAUUGCUUGAGUCAGUGAGGGGAGGGCGAAAUUCCCGGUGUAGCAGUAAAAUGCGUAGAUAUCGGGAGGAACACCAGUGGCGAAGGCGGCCUUCUGGGCUGUCCCUGACGCUGAGGCGCGAAAGCGUGGGGAGCGAACCGGAUUAGAUACCCGGGUAGU
rnacentral:rRNA from 1 species